rnacentral:rRNA from 1 species
GGGUUGUGAGGUUAAGCGACUAAGCGUACACGGUGGAUGCCCUGGCAGUCAGAGGCGAUGAAGGACGUGCUAAUCUGCGAAAAGCGUCGGUAAGGUGAUAUGAACCGUUAUAACCGGCGAUGUCCGAAUGGGGAAACCCAGUGCAAUUCGUUGCACUAUCGUUAACUGAAUACAUAGGUUAACGAGGCGAACCGGGGGAACUGAAACAUCUAAGUACCCCGAGGAAAAGAAAUCAACCGAGAUUCCCCCAGUAGCGGCGAGCGAACGGGGAGCAGCCCAGAGUCUGAAUCAGCUUGUGUGUUAGUGGAACGGUCUGGAAAGUCCGACGGUACAGGGUGAUAGUCCCGUACACCAAAAUGCACAGGCUGUGAACUCGAAGAGUAGGGCGGGACACGUGGUAUCCUGUCUGAAUAUGGGGGGACCAUCCUCCAAGGCUAAAUACUCCUGACUGACCGAUAGUGAACCAGUACCGUGAGGGAAAGGCGAAAAGAACCCCGGCGAGGGGAGUGAAAAAGAACCUGAAACCGUGUACGUACAAGCAGUGGGAGCACCUUCGGGUGUGACUGCGUACCUUUUGUAUAAUGGGUCAGCGACUUAUAUUCUGUAGCAAGGUUAACCGUAUAGGGGAGCCGCAGGGAAACCGAGUCUUAACUGGGCGUUAAGUUGCAGGGUAUAGACCCGAAACCCGGUGAUCUAGCCAUGGGCAGGUUGAAGGUUGGGUAACACUAACUGGAGGACCGAACCGACUAAUGUUGAAAAAUUAGCGGAUGACUUGUGGCUGGGGGUGAAAGGCCAAUCAAACCGGGAGAUAGCUGGUUCUCCCCGAAAGCUAUUUAGGUAGCGCCUCGUGAACUCAUCUUCGGGGGUAGAGCACUGUUUCGGCUAGGGGGUCAUCCCGACUUACCAACCCGAUGCAAACUACGAAUACCGAAGAAUGUUAUCACGGGAGACACACGGCGGGUGCUAACGUCCGUCGUGAAGAGGGAAACAACCCAGACCGCCAGCUAAGGUCCCAAAGUCAUGGUUAAGUGGGAAACGAUGUGGGAAGGCACAGACAGCCAGGAUGUUGGCUUAGAAGCAGCCAUCAUUUAAAGAAAGCGUAAUAGCUCACUGGUCGAGUCGGCCUGCGCGGAAGAUGUAACGGGGCUAAACCAUGCACCGAAGCUGCGGCAGCGACACUAUGUGUUGUUGGGUAGGGGAGCGUUCUGUAAGCCUGCGAAGGUGUGCUGUGAGGCAUGCUGGAGGUAUCAGAAGUGCGAAUGCUGACAUAAGUAACGAUAAAGCGGGUGAAAAGCCCGCUCGCCGGAAGACCAAGGGUUCCUGUCCAACGUUAAUCGGGGCAGGGUGAGUCGACCCCUAAGGCGAGGCCGAAAGGCGUAGUCGAUGGGAAACAGGUUAAUAUUCCUGUACUUGGUGUUACUGCGAAGGGGGGACGGAGAAGGCUAUGUUAGCCGGGCGACGGUUGUCCCGGUUUAAGCAUGUAGGCUGGUUGUCCAGGCAAAUCCGGAUAAUCAAGGCUGAGGUGUGAUGACGAGGCACUACGGUGCUGAAGUAACAAAUGCCCUGCUUCCAGGAAAAGCCUCUAAGCAUCAGGUAACAUCAAAUCGUACCCCAAACCGACACAGGUGGUCAGGUAGAGAAUACCAAGGCGCUUGAGAGAACUCGGGUGAAGGAACUAGGCAAAAUGGUGCCGUAACUUCGGGAGAAGGCACGCUGGUGUGUAGGUGAAGCCCCUGCGGGUGGAGCUGAGACCAGUCGAAGAUACCAGCUGGCUGCAACUGUUUAUUAAAAACACAGCACUGUGCAAACACGAAAGUGGACGUAUACGGUGUGACGCCUGCCCGGUGCCGGAAGGUUAAUUGAUGGGGUUAUCCGUAAGGAGAAGCUCUUGAUCGAAGCCCCGGUAAACGGCGGCCGUAACUAUAACGGUCCUAAGGUAGCGAAAUUCCUUGUCGGGUAAGUUCCGACCUGCACGAAUGGCGUAAUGAUGGCCAGGCUGUCUCCACCCGAGACUCAGUGAAAUUGAACUCGCUGUGAAGAUGCAGUGUACCCGCGGCAAGACGGAAAGACCCCGUGAACCUUUACUAUAGCUUGACACUGAACAUUGAGCCUUGAUGUGUAGGAUAGGUGGGAGGCUUUGAAGCGUGGACGCCAGUCUGCGUGGAGCCAACCUUGAAAUACCACCCUUUAAUGUUUGAUGUUCUAACGUUGGCCCCUUACCGGGGUUGCGGACAGUGUCUGGUGGGUAGUUUGACUGGGGCGGUCUCCUCCCAAAGCGUAACGGAGGAGCACGAAGGUUAGCUAAUCCUGGUCGGACAUCAGGAGGUUAGUGCAAUGGCAUAAGCUAGCUUGACUGCGAGCGUGACGGCGCGAGCAGGUGCGAAAGCAGGUCAUAGUGAUCCGGUGGUUCUGAAUGGAAGGGCCAUCGCUCAACGGAUAAAAGGUACUCCGGGGAUAACAGGCUGAUACCGCCCAAGAGUUCAUAUCGACGGCGGUGUUUGGCACCUCGAUGUCGGCUCAUCACAUCCUGGGGCUGAAGUAGGUCCCAAGGGUAUGGCUGUUCGCCAUUUAAAGUGGUACGCGAGCUGGGUUUAGAACGUCGUGAGACAGUUCGGUCCCUAUCUGCCGUGGGCGCUGGAGAAUUGAGGGGGGCUGCUCCUAGUACGAGAGGACCGGAGUGGACGCAUCACUGGUGUUCGGGUUGUCAUGCCAAUGGCACUGCCCGGUAGCUAAAUGCGGAAGAGAUAAGUGCUGAAAGCAUCUAAGCACGAAACUUGCCCCGAGAUGAGUUCUCCCUGAGACUUUAAGUCUCCUGAAGGAACGUUAAAGACGAUGACGUUGAUAGGCCGGGUGUGUAAGCGCAGCGAUGCGUUGAGCUAACCGGUACUAAUGAACCGUGAGGCUUAACCUUACAACGCCGAAG